rnacentral:lncRNA from 1 species
CUUUUAUUCCAUUGUUUCCUGGACACAUUCUACAUGUUUCAGAGGUGUCUGCAUCUCUAACCUAAUCCCUAUUGUGACGUCAUAGAAGGAAGAAGCGGGAAACACUGUUCCUUCCCCUCAGGCUACCUGGCCCUGGAUGUUGGCUUUACAAUGAAGGACAGAGAAUCUGGGAAAGGCAGUGGUCAGCUCUGUCCUGCAGGAACGCCACAUGCAUUCUGUCAGAACAAAGGGCUACCCUGAGCUUUUAUCUUUAACAUCUGAUUUACAACACUGGAUUAGACUGAAGAAUGCUCCGGAAUUGGGAAAGCACAUAGUGUCCAUGAAAGUAUUUCUAGAGAAGAUUGACAUGCGAGUCAGCGAGUUAACUCCCCACCCCCGACCAUGAGAUAGGCUGGCUUUGAACUUCCUAUCAUCCUGCCUUGGGCUUCUAUGUACUGAGAUUACAGUGUAAUUCCUGUGAGUAAACUCAGAUCACCUGGACUGUGUCGCAAGGACCGUUAUCCAUCUGCCAUCUCACUGGCUGCAGAAACCUAUGUUGGAUGCUCAUUAAUUCAAGACAAAGGGAUGAGGGAGACUCUCAGACAUGACUGUGUCCUUGGCCCUGGAAAGAAAAUUGUCAGCAGUGCCACACUAAGAAUGCUAAGGCAAAGAGAAGACUCUCAAAUACAAGAGGCAUAGACAACAUCCUCAGAAACGGAUCGAGGGAAACAUGCAAGGCUGGAAUGCCCGCAGAUCUGCUUCCAGAGGGGUCUGCUUCACUGUAUCUAUAUAACCUGCUCUCAAAUGAAUUCCUAUCUCAAAACCAGA